ensembl:lncRNA
AAGAUGAGUGUUUUGGAGGGGGACAGAGCAGAGUUUCCAGGAUCCAGCUCUAUGUCCAUGAACAGUGACAAAUUCAGAGACUAUCAUCCAAUCUCCAGUCAGGAACUUGGACCAUCAGACAAAAAACGUCAGCAACACAACCACAGAGCAGAAUUUCCAGGAUCCAGCUCUAUGUCCAUGAACAGUGACAUGUCCAGAGAUUAUCCUCCAGAGUUCAGUCAUGAAUCUGGGCCAUCAGGCACACAACGUCAGCAACACAACCACAGAGAAGAGUUUCCAGGAUCCAGCUCUAUGUCCAUGAACAGUGACAAAUUCAGAGACUAUCAUCCAAUCUCCAGUCAGGAACUUGGACCAUCAGACAAAAAACGUCAACAACGCAACCACAGAGCAGAGUUUCCAGGGUCCAGCUCUAUGUCCAUGAACAGUGACAUGUCCAGAGAUUAUCCUCCAGAGUUCAGUCAUGAACCUGGACCCUCAGUCACACA